ACAUCCUUAGCAUAGUGGCAGUGCGCUGGCUUCUUAACCCAUGAGGGCGGAGUUCGAUUCUCCGAGGAUGUACCA
rnacentral:tRNA from 1 species